rnacentral:tRNA from 1 species
CCUCUCGUAGCUCAGUUGUCAGAGCAUUAGUGCAUAAAUCCAAAGGCCCUGGGUUCGAUUCCCAGCGAAGGUA